AUUGAACGCUGGCGGCAUGCUUUACACAUGCGAGUCGAACGGCAGCGCGGGCUUCGGCCUGGCGGCGAGUGGCGAACGGGUGAGUAAUGCAUCGGAACGUGCCCAGUAGUGGGGGAUAGCCCGGCGAAAGCCGGAUUAAUACCGCAUACGACCUGAGGGCGAAAGCGGGGGACCGAAAGGCCUCGCGCUAUUGGAGCGGCCGAUGUCGGAUUAGCUAGUUGGUGGGGUAAAGGCUUACCAAGGCGACGAUCCGUAGCUGGUCUGAGAGGACGACCAGCCACACUGGGACUGAGACACGGCCCAGACUCCUACGGGAGGCAGCAGUGGGGAAUUUUGGACAAUGGGGGCAACCCUGAUCCAGCCAUGCCGCGUGCGGGAAGAAGGCCUUCGGGUUGUAAACCGCUUUUGUUCGGGAAGAAAUCCUCUGGGCUAAUACCCCGGGGGGAUGACGGUACCGGAAGAAUAAGCACCGGCUAACUACGUG
rnacentral:rRNA from 1 species